GAUGAACGCUGGCGGCGUGCCUAAUACAUGCAAGUCGAGCGAACAGACGAGGAGCUUGCUCCUCUGACGUUAGCGGCGGACGGGUGAGUAACACGUGGAUAACCUACCUAUAAGACUGGGAUAACUUCGGAAACCGGAGCUAAUACCGGAUAAUAUAUUGAACCGCAUGGUUUAAUAGUGAAAGACGGUUUUGCUGUCACUUAUAGAUGGAUCCGCGCCGCAUUAGCUAGUUGGUAAGGUAACGGCUUACCAAGGCAACGAUGCGUAGCCGACCUGAGAGGGUGAUCGGCCACACUGGAACUGAGACACGGUCCAGACUCCUACGGGAGGCAGCAGUAGGGAAUCUUCCGCAAUGGGCGAAAGCUUGACGGAGCAACGCCGCGUGAGUGAUGAAGGUCUUCGGAUCGUAAAACUCUGUUAUUAGGGAAGAACAAAUGUGUAAGUAACUAUGCACGUCUUGACGGUACCUAAUCAGAAAGCCACGGCUAACUACGUG
rnacentral:rRNA from 1 species